GAUGAACGCUGGCGGCGUGCCUAAUACAUGCAAGUCGAGCGAAUGGAUUAAGAGCUUGCUCUUAUGAAGUUAGCGGCGGACGGGUGAGUAACACGUGGGUAACCUGCCCAUAAGACUGGGAUAACUCCGGGAAACCGGGGCUAAUACCGGAUAACAUUUUGAACCGCAUGGUUCGAAAUUGAAAGGCGGCUUCGGCUGUCACUUAUGGAUGGACACGCGUCGCAUUAGCUAGUUGGUGAGGUAACGGCUCACCAAGGCAACGAUGCGUAGCCGACCUGAGAGGUGAACGGCCACACUGGGACUGAGACACGGCCCAGACUCCUACGGGAGGCAGCAGUAGGGAAUCUUCCGCAAUGGACGAAAGUCUGACGGAGCAACGCCGCGUGAGUGAUGAAGGCUUUCGGGUCGUAAAACUCUGUUGUUAGGGAAGAACAAGUGCUAGUUGAAUAAGCUGGCACCUUGACGGUACCUAACCAGAAAGCCACGGCUAACUACGUGCCAGCAGCCGCCGUAA
rnacentral:rRNA from 1 species